rnacentral:rRNA from 1 species
CCUACGGGUGGCUGCAGUGGGGAAUAUUGGACAAUGGGGGCAACCCUGAUCCAGCCAUGCCGCGUGUGUGAAGAAGGCCCUCGGGUUGUAAAGCACUUUCAGUGAGGAAGAACGCCUGGUGGUUAAUACCCAUCAGGAAAGACAUCACUCACAGAAGAAGCACCGGCUAACUCCGUGCCAGCAGCCGCGGUAAUACGGAGGGUGCGAGCGUUAAUCGGAAUUACUGGGCGUAAAGCGCGCGUAGGUGGCUUGAUAAGCCGGUUGUGAAAGCCCCGGGCUCAACCUGGGAACGGCAUCCGGAACUGUCAAGCUAGAGUGCAGGAGAGGAAGGUAGAAUUCCCGGUGUAGCGGUGAAAUGCGUAGAGAUCGGGAGGAAUGCCAGUGGCGAAGGCGGCCUUCUGGACUGACACUGACACUGAGGUGCGAAAGCGUGGGUAGCAAACAGGAUUAGAUACCCUAGUAGUC